GUAGUAUUCCCUCCAUUCCAAAAUUAUUGUCUUACAUUUGUUUAGAUACGGAUGUAUCUAACACUAAAAUGUAACUAGAUACAUCCGUAUUUAGACAAAUUUAAGAAAAGAAUUUUGGGACGGAGGGAGUACAAA
rnacentral:pre_miRNA from 1 species